UGCAAAGCUUCCUCAUUUUCACAUUUUUUUGGCUAUGUAUCCUUGGCAAAUUCUUUUACUAGUUGGUCUCAAAGUGUUCUCUCAAUCUGCUAGAUUCAGAUAUUUCAAAGCAUUGAUUGUGAAAGAAAGCGUUAGAAAUUUUGAUGUAGACAGCUUUGUAAAUUGGAUAUAUAUGAUUUCUGUGGGGGCAUCACAACAGGAGACAAAUAGUGGUUGUAAUUUUCAAAAGAAAGCUUGCAUUGAUGUGACAUUGCAAAAUUUACGUGUAUGCACUUUUCCUUUUGGAUGAAUGUAAGAUUAUUAAGAUCUGAUGGC
rnacentral:misc_RNA from 1 species